CGCUGGCGGCGCGCUUAACACAUGCAAGUCGAACGAGCGAGAGAGAGUUUACUUUUUCGAGCGAGUGGCGAACGGGUGAGUAACGCGUGAGGAACCUGCCUCAAAGAGGGGGACAACAGUUGGAAACGACUGCUAAUACCGCAUAAGCCCACGGCUCGGCAUCGAGCAGAGGGAAAAGGAGCAAUCCGCUUUGAGAUGGCCUCGCGUCCGAUUAGCUAGUUGGUGAGGUAACGGCCCACCAAGGCGACGAUCGGUAGCCGGACUGAGAGGUUGAACGGCCACAUUGGGACUGAGACACGGCCCAGACUCCUACGGGAGGCAGCAGUGGGGAAUAUUGCACAAUGGGGGAAACCCUGAUGCAGCGACGCCGCGUGGAGGAAGAAGGUCUUCGGAUUGUAAACUCCUGUUGUUGAGGAAGAUAAUGACGGUACUCAACAAGGAAGUGACGGCUAACUACGUGCCAGCAGCCGCGGUAAAACGUAGGUCACAAGCGUUGUCCGGAAUUACUGGGUGUAAAGGGAGCGCAGGCGGGAAGACAAGUUGGAAGUGAAAUCCAUGGGCUCAACCCAUGAACUGCUUUCAAAACUGUUUUUCUUGAGUAGUGCAGAGGUAGGCGGAAUUCCCGGUGUAGCGGUGGAAUGCGUAGAUAUCGGGAGGAACACCAGUGGCGAAGGCGGCCUACUGGGCACCAACUGACGCUGAG
rnacentral:rRNA from 1 species